rnacentral:rRNA from 1 species
UACGUAGGGUGCAAGCGUUGUCCGGAAUUAUUGGGCGUAAAGAGCUCGUAGGCGGUCUGUUGCGUCGGCUGUGAAAACCCGGGGCUCAACCCCGGGCCUGCAGCCGAUACGGGCAGACUUGAGUUCGGUAGGGGAGACUGGAAUUCCUGGUGUAGCGGUGAAAUGCGCAGAUAUCAGGAGGAACACCGGUGGCGAAGGCGGGUCUCUGGGCCGAUACUGACGCUGAGGAGCGAAAGCGUGGGGAGCGAACAGG